CAUGCUCUCUCAACUCUCCCUCUUCAAUCAUAUGGCUAUCGCAUCUCAAGGAAAAGAAGACCAAACUCACUGGCCACCGCUCAACCACCAUAUUUCGGUGGUAGCUCGCCCCUCCUACCGCUACUAGACUCGACCUGGUAAGCCCUAAGACCACCCAAAACUUAAUCGAUCCUUUUUUCUCUUUUAAUCUCUCUCUUCACUUCGACCGAAACCAAAGAGAGACCAACACAGCCGUAGAUCUAUGUUCUUCAACCCUUGGGCCACCACCAGCGGUGGCCGGUCGAACCUUAACUCGACCUAGACCAAACCAAACUCCCCUUUCUUCUCCUUUUCAAAACAUAGAGAACCCAAAAACAACAAUCCUCCCGAACGCCGAAACUAAACUCCGACCGCUCGUUUUCCUUUCACUCCUGUGAUGCUAGCUCCAACAAAAGGGACCCUAUGACUCAGAUUUAUUUGCAGGUUAUUGGGUUCGUUCUUCUCUGGUUUGGGCUUGUUCUUUUCUAGUCUACAACACCCAUCUGAUCCAUGAUUCCCCUCAGGUAUGUUUCCCGCCUAAUCCAUCUCCAAAAUCCCUAAUUCGAUCAUUUCCCCCAAUUGCUUCUACUGUUUUCCCAUUUCCACCUCGUGGGUCAUGACAAUAACCCCAGCUACAGUUGAUGGUUGUCCCCAAGGAUCAAAGUCAGGGAAUUGUGAUCGCAGUACCGUGAAAUCUUCCCAGGUUGCGUUUUCCACUCCUAAAUUCGACCACUGGAUUAAUAGUUGAAUAAUUGCCUUGUUGUUCCUUUUCAGAACUCUCUUAUCCAAAACGAUCGCAGGAUAAACCCGAAGCUAGCCAUCAGAAGUAAGUUCAGGGACCAUAGUAACGAGCAGACAAUUUUAGAUUUCUACGUAAGGCCAAUGAUGUCUUCUGAUAAGGUUGAAGCUUAAGUUAUUAUGCAGGAGAAGAUUGUCCAAACUCAGUUCUAGCUUUUUGCAUCAGCCCCAAAAGUUGCUGGAGGCAUGUUUUAGUUUCAUUUGUUGUUGUCUCCAAGGCUUACAUCCUCUGCUCCAAAUCACGUUGUUGAUUAAGCCACCAAGUUGGAAUUGCUUCUGCUUCUGAGGGACCUUCUGGAUCAGCAGGAAUGAUCGGCGGUGGAUCAUUGUUAUUGGGUUCGUUCUUCUCUGGUUUGAGCUUGUUCUUCUCUAGUCCACAGCACCCAUCUGAUCCAUGAUUCCCCUCAAGUAUGUUUCCCGCCUAGUCCAUCUCUAAAAUCCCUAAUUCGAUCGUUUUCCCCAAUUACUUCUCAUCCUUUCCUAUUUCCGUCUUGUGGGUCAUGACAAUUACACCUUUUUUUUCCGAGAGGAACAGAAAAGUAGGAGCCCCUUACAAAUCAUUUCCGGGUUUCUUAUAUCCCGUUUACAAAGUUACCCAAAACUAAAAAAAAGCCUUCUUUUUGUUUUUACAGCUCAUAUUCCUUUUGUCCCUUUGUGCAUGAGAUUGCUGAUGAUGCAUUUUGGUGUUUGCUGGAAGCAUUUGGGGCUAUCAUUGACGCUUGCUAGAGGCUCGGUGUAAGCUUGGGUCCACUGUUGCUUCGUGACUUCUCAGGUGGCCUAAGGACCACUGCUUGGUAGAUGAGGAGGCGGUGGGGACCAGACUGGUUUCUGGCGCUGAUGUGGAAUGGAAAUCGAAUGGUGUAGAUGAGCACCGGGCUCUUGGCGGCACGACCGAAGAGAACCCUUGCUAGGGUUUUUGCACACUUAAGAAAGUUGGGCUUAGUUUCGUGGGUUAUGGGAUAGAUAUUUAGGCUUUGGGUUGCCAUGUGUUGUAUAUUUGAUUUGUAUAUGUAGCACUUUGUAUCACAUUUGAUUUGUAAACGGACACUCCUAUUGGACACUUGAAUUUGGGCAUGUAAUUUAUACAAUUGAAUUUGGUAUGUAGCACUUUGGGUUUUA